rnacentral:rRNA from 1 species
UACGUAGGGGGCAAGCGUUGUUCGGAUUCAUUGGGCGUAAAGGGUGUGUAGGUGGCGCGCUAAGUCGGGUGUGAAAUUUCGGAGCUUAACUCCGAAACUGCAUUCGAUACUGGCGUGCUUGAGGACUGGAGAGGAGACUGGAAUUCAUGGUGUAGCAGCGAAAUGCGUAGAGAUCAUGAGGAAGACCAGUGGCGAAGGCGGGUCUCUGGACAGUUCCUGACACUGAGACACGAAGGCCAGGGGAGCAAACGGG